GAAACUUGGGCUAACACCGCAUAAUGCAGCGGCACCACAUGGUGACAGUUGUUAAAGCGGGGGAUUUUAGGACCUCGCGCCUGAAGAGGAGCCUGCGGCAGAUUAGCUAGUUGGUAGGGUAACGGCUUACCAAGGCGACGAUCUGUAACCGGCCUGAGAGGGCGGUCGGUCACACUGACACUGACAUACGGGUCAGACUCCUACGGGAGGCAGCAGUCGGGAAUUUUGGGCAAUGGGCGAAAGCCUGACCCAGCAACGCCGCGUGAAGGAUGAAAUCCCUCGGGAUGUAAACUUCGCAAGAAUGGGAAGAAUUAGUAGGGGUUAAUACCCCCUAUGAUGACGGUACCAUUUGUAAGCUCCGGCUAACUCCGUGCCAGCAGCCGCGGUAAUACGGGGGGAGCAAGCGUCGUUCGGAUUUACUGGGCGUAAAGGGCGCGUAGGCGGUCAGCACAAGUCAGUUGUGAAAUCUCCGGGCUUAACUCGGAAAGGUCAACUGAUACUGUGCGACUAGAGUGCAGAAGGGGCAACUGGAAUUCUCGGUGUAGCGGUGAAAUGCGUAGAUAUCGAGAGGAACACCUGCGGCGAAGGCGGGUUGCUGGGCUGACACUGACGCUGAGGCGCGAAAGCCAGGGGAGCGACG
rnacentral:rRNA from 1 species